UACAGAGGUCUCGAGCGUUGUUCGGAUUCAUUGGGCGUAAAGGGUGCGUAGGUGGCGCUGUAAGUCGGGUGUGAAAUCCUGAGGCUUAACCUCGGAACUGCAUUCGAUACUGCGGCGCUUGAGGACUGGAGAGGAGACUGGAAUUCAUGGUGUAGCAGUGAAAUGCGUAGAGAUCAUGAGGAAGACCAGCGGCGAAGGCGGGUCUCUGGACAGUUCCUGACACUGAGGCACGAAGGCCAGGGGAGCAAACGGG
rnacentral:rRNA from 1 species